rnacentral:rRNA from 1 species
CAGCCGCCGCGGUAAUACGUAGGUGGCAAGCGUUGUCCGGAAUUAUUGGGCGUAAAGGGCGCGCAGGCGGUUUCUUAAGUCUGAUGUGAAAGCCCCCGGCUCAACCGGGGAGGGUCAUUGGAAACUGGGAAACUUGAGUGCAGAAGAGGAGAGUGGAAUUCCACGUGUAGCGGUGAAAUGCGUAGAGAUGUGGAGGAACACCAGUGGCGAAGGCGACUCUCUGGUCUGUAACUGACGCUGAGGAGCGAAAGCGUGGGGAGCGAACAGGAUUAGAGACCCCAGUAGUCCCUGUCUCUUAUAC